CAUGUACUUCCUCCGUCCCAAAAUUCUUGUCUUAGAUUUGUCUAGAUACAGAUGUACCUAAUACUAAAACAUGACUUGAUACAUCCGUAUUUAGACAAAUCUAAGACAAGAAUUUUGGGACGGAGGGAGUACCAU
rnacentral:pre_miRNA from 1 species